GAUGACUGAAGAUGACAUUUAGCGUCACUGUAAGGACUCACCCCAAUCUCUACCACGGUACUCCUUUGUCCAAAUUUGUUUUGUUCUUGUAGUGUCCAAAACAAAACCAUCUUGAAAAGUCCCCAAAGUCCAGCACCCCUGGUGCCACCCCAAAGGGAUAGGGGGAGACGUAAGAGAUACUCAGAACAGCUAUUAAAAAAAAACAACCAUUUACAGGCAGAAAGAUGGACUUGAGUGGAAACACAGUGUUAUGGGCAAUUUCCCCUCAUAACUCAAGGACAAAGAACUUUAUUACUAUUUAAACUCCAAUACUGCACCAAUUAAAUCCCAGCGUAGGAACCACAGCUUCCUGUCUGUGUGUCAUUCAAAACAGUAGUCUCUCUCACGUUCCCUAAAGAAUCAUAAGGAUAACUUUUAUCCACUGUGAUCACUCUUAUUCUUGGCGAUUAAGGGGGAGAGGAGACUAUUCGCAGCUGAUGCUGGCUCGUGUUCUCGAUGCGGUGACGAACGCUUCAUGAACAAUACGAUUUCCUCACAAAAAAUCUUGGGUGAAACACCUCACUGAAAGUACCCAUUGUGUGACUGACCGCUCUUGGAGGCCAGGAAGUGCAGCUGUAGGGGUCCAGUCUCUUCAGCAGAGGAGCUGGUGUAUGAAAGAGCAAGAGCCCCCAGCACAUGCUGUUCGUUCCAGACAUCAGCUCCCUUUCUCCAUUUUGUAGAAUCCAGAAUCACCCUGCCCAGGGAAUGGUAUCACAAAAUUAAGGGACACUGUUUAAGGGACAUAUUUUUAUCAUCCACUCCUGGUGACUCAUCAACCUUAAGGCCCUCAGAUAGCUGACAGUUGAGAACCUGCAGCUGAUGUCCUUGGAUCCUGUCCAGCCCAGAACGUGGUUGACUAUGAGAAGUGAAACCAUGAAAAAAGGACUGUGCAUUUCUUGCACCCUGUGCAUUUCUUGUGCCCUGUAGAGAUAAAACAUGACUUUCUGCCUCAUCACACAAUUACAACUGUAGUUUUCUGACUUCUUUGUUCACAGGUGAACUAAAUUUAAGUCUCAUGGAAAUGAAAACCACAUGAUUCUAAUUUAAUUUAGUAGUUUUAAAAUAAGACAGUAAAACAUCACCAGUGUUUAUCAAUCCUGACCCUGUGUUUGCAUAAGCCAUGUGUGUUUCAAAAGUAAUUAUUGCACGAGCGGGGUAGGGAGACUCCAAAGAUAUCUCAGGAAAAUGAAGACUCCCACCACCCUUUCAGACUCCUGUUGACUUUUAACAUCUCAAUGACCGUCCUACUUGGACAAUCAAGAUGUUCUGUGUAGAUAGGGCCUAUUUCUGAAAGUGUCAGAAGUCAUGUUAUCUUGAGGCCUCGGCUCCAACUUAUAAAGAUUUCUGAUGCUCCAUGGGUGAGAGGCAGAACAUUAUCAGACUGCUUCUGCAUUGAGAGUUUGAACAAGAAAUAGCAAAAACACAGCUUUCUUUCCUUUCCCUGGAGCUUUUCAGUACCAGCGCCAUGUCCAGGGUGACAGGACUGAGCCUCUGCCUGAGACGGAGGAGUCCUUAGAGGCAUUUGACUUCUUUCAGUGUGCAAAGCUCUUCCCUUUGGAGUCUUGCCUGCCUUCCCAGCUCCGUUCCCAUCUCUUCUUCUGAAAGCUCCUGGAUUGUUGUUCUUCUGUUGCCACGAUGAACACCAUGACAAAAAGCUACUUGGGAAGGAAAGGGUUUCUUUCAUCAUGAAGAAAGUCAAGGCAGGAAUUAAAGGCAAGAGCCUGGAGGCAGGAACUGAAGCAGAGGCCAUGGAGGAGUGCUGCUUACUGGCUUGCUCCCUGUGUCUUUCUCAGCCUGUUUUCUUAACCAUCCAGGACCACCUGCCCUUGGGCAACACCAUCCACCAUGAGCUGGACCCUCCCACACCAAUCAUUAAUCAAGAAAAUGCCUCACAGACUAAUCUGAUGGAGACAUUUUUUCAGUUAGGUAUCCCUCUUUCCAGAGGACCCCAGUUUAUGUCAAGUUUUGACAAAUAACUAUCCAGCAUAGCCCCUCCCUAGAUCAGGGUGAUUCUGACACAUUUCUAUCUGGAUAUACCAGUCCAGCCAGUCCAGCUGUUUGGAAGGGGCCCAUCAAUCAAAGAAAUGCUAAGGGUGUGGUCUUGCCCCUUAAAGCAUCUCCCAUGGAUCUAUCUUUAGUCCAUUGUUGGUUUUUAAAAACUAACGUAGGCCCUGUACAAGGUUUUGCUCUCACAGGUCUAGCAACUUGUUCAAGAUACAGUUGGGACAAGAGCUGGGGUGCAGCGCUUGCUUGAUACACAUGUGGCCCCAGGGUCCAUCUGUAUCACCACAACCGAAGGAUAGCAGUAGAGAUCUCAGUGGGGUUUGUGACCACUUCUGGCUCAUGGGAUGUAGCUAUGAUGUGGGUAAGUCUGGAUACCCGCUGGCACCACUCCUCCCCUCUGAGGCAGUCUUCCUCACAUGACCACAUGUCUGUCAGUCUGUCCUGAGGCCCAGGGUCCAGCUAGGAGAAGGACCACAUUCCAAGAGAUUUACAAGCUGCAAGCAACAACUACUCAGGAAAAAUGACUCCAAUUUUGAACUUGUGGACGUUAAAAGAUAAU